UUUUUUUUUUUUUUUUUUUGAGACAGAGUCUUGCUCUGCCGCUGGGGCUGGAAGUGAGACUCCAUCUCAAAGACAGGGAGAGAGAAAAAAAAGAAUCCCCUUCUUGGGCAGCCCUUUUUGACAGUAUUUUGGCCUAGGUCCCUUCCUUACAGCACUUGGAAGUGCUUAUCCAGGUAUAGAACUUACCCCGUGGCACUUACCACAUUGUAUUCGUUGCUUUACAUAUCAGGGACCCUCUCAGCUGUGCACACCUCCAGGGAGUGGGGGCUGUAAGCUGGUUUAUCCCCACAUCCCCAGCUCCUUACACUGGAUCUGGUCUAUAGAACCCCCCCAGUGAAAGUAUGUUGAAUAAAUUAAUGAGUGGGGGAGUGAAUUAAGAUAUGCUCAGGGUCAGACACGAAAAGAUUAAAAGGACCUGGAGGGUAAUGGGGGGUCCCAGCUCCCUCUGCUGGGCAUCAAAUAACUGGUCAGAGAGCCCCCAGCCCUGCCCAAGACUAGCUGAAAUCCCUAGAACUGUGAUUUAGUUCCACAACACUCAACUUGGCUUCUGUAACAUUUACCUCCACCUGUAAUUAGAUACAAUUAUCUGCGUGUAUAUUUGAAUCACAUCCCUGUUCCCUACUAGACUUGAAGCUCUUUGAAGCAUCGAUCUUCUCUGUUCUCCCUCAUCGCAGUAUCCCCAGUGCCCAGCACAGUGCCUCGCACACAGGAGUUCUCUAGUAUAUGCUUGAAGAAUGACUACUGGGGGGAAACAGUUCCAUUUCUCCAAGCAGGCCCAGGAUCAGUGUGCUGAGAAAAAGCCAGAAGCCAUGAACCACACUUGCCCUCUCAGCAAUGCACCACAUUCCCAUGGCCUUCAAACCACCCAGGCCCCAGCAGCCCUACCCCAGGAACUGAUCCAGGGCCUGGGGUAGGCCUGCAGCAAAACUUCCAGGAGCCCCGUGAGUGGGACCUCUUUCUCUGCCCCUUUAGUUUCCUCACCCUCUUCCCUUCCAAAGAGACCUGAAUGGAGUUGGUUGAUUUCUCCAAGUGCCUUGAUUUAUUCUGCCCCUGCUAUGUGCCAAGCACCCUUCAGCAUUUUCCUAUUUGCUUCUGUAUUUUCUUCAAACCUCAUACAAAUAAAAAAUAGCUAACAUUUUUGAGCACUUCCUGGCACAUAGUUUACAUGUAUUAACUGAUGUAACAAUCUCAUGAUAUAGAAAUGAUAACGAUACCUUUUUAUCACUGAGGGCAUUGAGGCAGAGAGGUAUAGAAACAAAAGAGCUGGGCUUUGAACCCCGGUCUGCCCGUACAUAAAUAGGCAGCCCUUCCCAGGGCACUACCCACAUUUUCUGGAUUAUAAUCCAGGGUCUGGCCACUCAGGCUUACAUCUAAGGACUCGUGUCCAGGUCCCUCUCCCUCACCUGCUGUCCUGGGCACCUCUCCCUGUGCUCAGGGGCUGAGCACAGACUAAAUCACCUUUGCUCCCUAGCUGUUCCUACUCUCUGAGCUCAGGCAUAGAGAGGGCAAGAAGUGGUUCCUCUGGGGCUAUAACUGCCCCAAUGGGGCAAGUGGAAUGAGGGAAUCAAGGGGUAGCAGCCCCUUCCUAAGACUCAACAACCCCUCACCCCCACCGGCUUCCUUUUAGCCCUAACUUGGGAGAUCGAAUUUUCUGCCCCCAGGAAGUGUGUAAGUAACCAAAGCUAGGCCUACUAAAAUCUCAUUCCCUCUCACUCCUUAUCUGUCCCCAGAAGAGCCAGACAACUCCUGAGGCGCCCUCUCUCUUCUGUCUCUUCCUCUGCUUUAAUCAUAGCCCUCCCUCCUUGCAACCCUGCUGGGGGCUCUGGGGACUCCUCCCAGCCCUUUCCAGGGAGACACAGGUUAGUUAGGUUAAGCGGUUCGGAUAGGACGUGCGCUGGGGGCGGGAGGCGCCUUCCAGGAAGGGGAUGGCUUUUCUUCCCUCUCUGCAUCCCUUCCCCUAGGCUCUGAGGGCGUCGGGGCUUGGAAGGUGGGGCCUAGAGGGUCAAGUAACUGAGGACGAAUGACUGUGAGUGAGGGAGUAAGGACUAUGGUGUGGUGUAGCUUGGUAGUGUACAAGCUACACUCAGUGUAGUGUGCCCGUCAGCUGUUUCUGUGGGCCAGCGGCAGGAGAGGGCGCGCAUGCAGGCGAGGAUACCUGGAUACAGGAGGAGCGAGGUAUGCGUGGUGGCUGCACAAGGCACAGCCGACAGAGUACCUUACUUCCCCUCGACCGCUGGGCUCAAGAUGUCCCUCGAGAUCCUCGGCCUGGGGCGCACAAUCCAAGAGUUUCCCUGAUUGUCUGGCUCCCAGGGCCCCUCUCGCCUUGGCGCUAAACGACCAAGAUCUUGCCCUCCCUGCGGACCCAGUAGAGGGCGAUGUCAUACCUCUGCGGGUGAAGCCCCCACCCCAGCAUCUCCGCGCCCUAAACCGAGACUCCAACUAUAAAAGUCAAGGCGAGGGCAUAGGAUGGCGAGGGCGGCUUCGCAGGACUCAGGGGCCACGGAUCCCUCCCCAGCCCCUAGCUUCCAGAGUAGGAAGUGGACCCUUGAGCAGUUGUUCAGCGCGCCCCCUCCGCUUUAUUUGCGCCUGCAGCCGGGGAAUGCCGAGCGGCUGUGCAGGAGGCCAUUCGGCACCGCGUCCCCUCCCCCGGCCGCUGGCCACACCUCGCCCCGUUGACAGCUCCGGCGCCUAGUCCAAGGGCCACCUCGGGCCCCC
ensembl:lncRNA